rnacentral:rRNA from 1 species
CCUACGGGAGGCUGCAGUGAGGAAUAUUGGUCAAUGGUCGGGAGACUGAACCAGCCAAGCCGCGUGAGGGAGGAAGGUACAGAGUAUCGUAAACCUCUUUUGUCAGGGAACAAAGACUGGGACGCGUCCCCGGAUGAGUGUACCUGAAGAAAAAGCAUCGGCUAACUCCGAUCCAGCAGCCGCGGUAAUACGGAGGAUGCGAGCGUUAUCCGGAGUUAUUGGGUUUAAUGGGUGCGCAGGCGGUCUGUUAAGUCAGCGGUAAAAGGGCGGUGCUCAAAACCGGCCUGCCGUUGAAACUGGUCUUCUUGAGUGAGCGAGAGGUAUGCGGAAUGCGUGGUGUAGCGGUGAAAUGCAUAGAUAUCACGAAGAACUCCGAUGGCGAAGGCAGCAUACCGGCGCUCAACUGACGCUGAGGCACGAAAGCGUGGGGAUCGAACAGGAUUAGAUACCCGAGUAGUC